rnacentral:tRNA from 1 species
GUCGCGGUGGCUGAGCGGUUAAGCGCUUGGCUUCCGAACCAAUGGUCCUGGGUUCGAAUCCUGGUGAAGACU